AUUUCUCAAAAUGAUGAAAUAUAUAAAUAGUUGGGAUGGUUUUGGGUUUGCUGAGAGAAAAAGAAAGCCAGGGCUGUGUCUGAUUUAACUUCCAGACAUCUUAAUCUCAGAUCUUCGCCUCGCCCAUAAAGCAAGUUGAAAAUGCAGGAAUCCACGGUGUGAAACUAGAUAUUUGCAAGACACCGAAGUCCAAGGCUUAUCCACAGUAAACGUUGUGUGUGCGCGAUAAGGUGUCUGCAUUUGUUCACAGGACUGUGUGUCCAAAAGCGUUAGUGUGUGCGUGUGCCUGGGUGUGUCCGUGUUUAAAACUCAGAAUAGAAGAAAGACCACUACAGGCUGAUCCUGUUAUACGGCACCCCCUGGACAUGGCUUAGCUAAUCACAGUACACCUGGCCUCCUGCUCUGAGAAGGGUUUUACUCCUUAAUCUCCUCAAUUUGCCUCUCCUUCCCCCUGACUUCUCUCCUCUCCCCCACGCCUCAUCCCUGCCUGCUAGUGCCCACACCAUCAGGGUCUAGCAGGAAGCCACUCCGGCGAUUAGAAGAAACAUUCUUGAGACCUUCAAAGCUUUCAUACGUGUCACUCUUGAAACAUAACCCAUUGGCCGACCGGCCGACAGGAAGACAAGGAGACGUGGAGCUUCAUCCCAGCGCAGCCUGCAUGGCGAGGAGAGACCAGGGGCCACAACCACCUGACCUCCCAUUACCCAGAGGCCCUACUGGGGUCUCUCCCCCCUGCUCCUCUCUCAGACCAGAGCAGAAGAUGAGUGAGUCGGUACCACCAGCGCAGCAGCGGACUACAGAGGGGCUACACUGACACGCCGUGCCCAUCAGCCCGUGGGCACUGCGGCAUGAAUGUAACAGCUGGACUCGUGCGAUAACUAAGAGCAGCACUGAGG